AGGAGGAACAACCGCAGUGGCAGCGGCCAGCUCUGGAGCCCUGGAUUCAGCCCCCGCAGUAGCUCCUGAGCUCUCCGUCUGCAGGGCCUGGAGGCUCCGGGGCGGG
rfam:Canis lupus familiaris chromosome 16, whole genome shotgun sequence.